UGCAGUCGAACGAUGAAGCCCAGCUUGCUGGGUGGAUUAGUGGCGAACGGGUGAGUAACACGUGAGUAACCUGCCCUUGACUCUGGGAUAAGCGUUGGAAACGACGUCUAAUACCGGAUACGAGCUUCCACCGCAUGGUGAGUUGCUGGAAAGAAUUUUGGUCAAGGAUGGACUCGCGGCCUAUCAGCUUGUUGGUGAGGUAAUGGCUCACCAAGGCGACGACGGGUAGCCGGCCUGAGAGGGUGACCGGCCACACUGGGACUGAGACACGGCCCAGACUCCUACGGGAGGCAGCAGUGGGGAAUAUUGCACAAUGGGCGAAAGCCUGAUGCAGCAACGCCGCGUGAGGGACGACGGCCUUCGGGUUGUAAACCUCUUUUAGCAGGGAAGAAGCGAAAGUGACGGUACCUGCAGAAAAAGCACCGGCUAACUACGUGCCAGCAGCCGCGGUAAUACGUAGGGUGCAAGCGUUGUCCGGAAUUAUUGGGCGUAAAGAGCUCGUAGGCGGUUUGUCGCGUCUGCUGUGAAAUCCCGAGGCUCAACCUCGGGUCUGCAGUGGGUACGGGCAGACUAGAGUGCGGUAGGGGAGAUUGGAAUUCCUGGUGUAGCGGUGGAAUGCGCAGAUAUCAGGAGGAACACCGAUGGCGAAGGCAGAUCUCUGGGCCGCUACUGACGCUGAGGAGCGAAAGGGUGGGGAGCAAACAGGCUUAGAUACCCUGGUAGUCCACCCCGUAAACGUUGGGCGCUAGAUGUGGGGACCAUUCCACGGUUUCCGUGUCGUAGCUAACGCAUUAAGCGCCCCGCCUGGGGAGUACGGCCGCAAGGCUAAAACUCAAAGGAAUUGACGGGGGCCCGCACAAGCGGCGGAGCAUGCGGAUUAAUUCGAUGCAACGCGAAGAACCUUACCAAGGCUUGACAUAUACGAGAACGGGCCAGAAAUGGUCAACUCUUUGGACACUCGUAAACAGGUGGUGCAUGGUUGUCGUCAGCUCGUGUCGUGAGAUGUUGGGUUAAGUCCCGCAACGAGCGCAACCCUCGUUCUAUGUUGCCAGCACGUAAUGGUGGGAACUCAUGGGAUACUGCCGGGGUCAACUCGGAGGAAGGUGGGGACGACGUCAAAUCAUCAUGCCCCUUAUGUCUUGGGCUUCACGCAUGCUACAAUGGCCAGUACAAAGGGCUGCAAUACCGUAAGGUGGAGCGAAUCCCAAAAAGCUGGUCCCAGUUCGGAUUGAGGUCUGCAACUCGACCUCAUGAAGUCGGAGUCGCUAGUAAUCGCAGAUCAGCAACGCUGCGGUGAAUACGUUCCCGGGCCUUGUACACACCGCCCGUCAAGUCAUGAAAGUCGGUAACACCCGAAGCCAGUGGCCUAACCGCAAGGAUGGAGCUGUCUAAGGUGGGAUCGGUAAUUAGGA
rnacentral:rRNA from 1 species